AUUGAACGCUGGCGGCAGGCCUAACACAUGCAAGUCGAACGAGUGGCGGACGGGUGAGUAAUGUCUGGGAAACUGCCCGAUGGAGGGGGGUAACUACUGGAAACGGUAGCUAAUACCGCAUACCAUCGGAUGAGCCCAGAUGGGAUUAGCUAGUAGGUGGGGUAACGGCUCACCUAGGCGACGAUCCCUAGCUGGUCUGAGAGGAUGACCAGCCACACUGGAACUGAGACACGGUCCAGACGCCUACGGGAGGCAGCAGUGGGGAAUAUUGCACAAUGGGCGCAAGCCUGAUGCAGCCAUGCCGCGUGUAUGAAGAAGGCCUUAGGGUUGUAAAGUACUUUCAGCGAGGAGGCGUUACUCGCAGAAGAAGCACCGGCUAACUCCGUGCCAGCAGCCGCGGUAAUAC
rnacentral:rRNA from 1 species